GAUGAACGCUGGCGGCGUGCCUAAUACAUGCAAGUCGAGCGAACAGAUGAGGAGCUUGCUCCUCUGACGUUAGCGGCGGACGGGUGAGUAACACGUGGAUAACCUACCUAUAAGACUGGGAUAACUUCGGGAAACCGGAGCUAAUACCGGAUAAUAUAUUGAACCGCAUGGUUCAAUAGUGAAAGACGGUUUUGCUGUCACUUAUAGAUGGAUCCGCGCCGCAUUAGCUAGUUGGUAAGGUAACGGCUUACCAAGGCAACGAUGCGUAGCCGACCUGAGAGGGGGAUCGGCCACACUGGAACGGAGACGCGGUCCAGACUCCUACGGGAGGCAGCAGUAGGGAAUCUUCCGCAAUGGGCGAAAGCCUGACGGAGCAACGCCGCGUGAGUGAUGAAGGUCUUCGGAUCGUAAAACUCUGUUAUUAGGGAAGAACAAAUGUGUAAGUAACUAUGCACGUCUUGACGGUACCUAAUCAGAAAGCCACGGCUAACUACGUG
rnacentral:rRNA from 1 species